GUAGGGAGCGAGCGUUAUCCGGAAUUAUUGGGCGUAAAGAGUGCGUAGGCGGUUUACUAAGUCUGAUGUGAAAGCCCCCGGCUUAACCGGGGAGGGUCAUUGGAAACUGGUAAACUUGAGUACAGUAGAGGCAAGUGGAAUUCCAUGUGUAGCGGUAAAAUGCGUAGAUAUAUGGAGGAACACCAGUGGCGAAGGCGGCUUGCUGGGCUGGAACUGACGCUGAGGCACGAAAGCGUGGGGAGCAAACAGGAUUAGAUACCCUGGUAGUCCACGCCGUAAACGAUGGGCACUAAGUGUUGGCAGAGAUGUCAGUGCUGUAGUUAACGCAUUAAGUGCCCCGCCUGGGGAGUACGGUCGCAAGACUG
rnacentral:rRNA from 1 species